rnacentral:rRNA from 1 species
GAAAAAUUCCCACCCCCAUAACAAAAUCGUAGUUGAUUUCUGAGCUCGCCUAGCGGCGGUCUUUGGCCGAUACUGUUAUGUACAGCCUCGCCCCUCGGGGAGGAUUAACUGCUUAAAAAUGAGAGUGUUUAAAGAAGGAUUUAUGCUUGAAUACGUUAACAUGGAAUAAUGAUAUAGGACCAAUUUGCAUUUUGUUGGUUGCGCGAUUCUAAAAUGAUUAAUAGGGACAGUUGGGGGUAUUCUUAUUUAAUUGGCAAAGGUGAAAUUCUUAUAUUUAUUAAAGAUGAACUACUGCUAAAGCAUUUACAAUGGAUGUUUUCAUUAAUAAAGAACAAAAGUCAAGGGAUCUAACAGGAUUAUAUACCCUCGUAGUCUUGACCAUAAACUAUGCCGACUAAGGAUUGGCACCCUUUUUUAACAGGGUGUCAGCACUGUAUGAAAAAUAAAGGUCUAUGGGUUCCGGGGGGAGCAUGGUCGCAAGGCUGACACUUAAAGGAAUUGACGGAAGGGCACCAACACGAGUGGAGCCUGCGUCUUAAUUUUACUCAACACGGGGAAACUUACCAGGACCAGACCUGGCGAGGAUUGACAGAUUGAAAGGUCUUUAUUGAUUCUGUGGGUGGUGGUGCAUGGCCGUUCUUAGUUGAUGGAGGGAUUUGUGUGGGUAAUUCCAAUGACGAACGAUACCUCCGCCUACUAGUGUAUAUGUUUCUCCUGUGGACGGCAACGCCUUCCUAUAGGGACUAUGGCCGUUUAUGCCUCGUUGGUUGGGGGCAAUUACAUGUCAGAGAUGCCCUUGGAUGUCCUGCGCCGCACGCGCGCUACACUGGCUGGUGGAACCAAGCGCCUUACACGUUCGCCCUCCGCACGCCUGCGCAACCUUGCGAACCCCCCACCCGUGUUUCGCCGAUAGGUUGCUUGCAACUUUUUUAAAAUCCUUUGCACCAAGGGGAAUUUCCCGAAUGAGGACAUCAGAGUUCCAUUCUGGAAUUUGUCUUUUGGACUUUACCAUCCCCCCUGGACCUCUCUUCUGAUAAAA